UAGGGAAUAUUGGACAAUGGGGGCAACCCUGAUCCAGCCAUGCCGCGUGAGUGAAGAAGGCCCUCGGGUUGUAAAGCUCUUUUGUCCGGAAAGAAAAGCUUCGGGUUAAUACCCCGGGGUUCUGACGGUACCGGAAGAAUAAGCACCGGCUAACUUCGUGCCAGCAGCCGCGGUAAUACGAAGGGUGCAAGCGUUACUCGGAAUUACUGGGCGUAAAGCGUGCGUAGGUGGUUGUUUAAGUCUGAUGUGAAAGCCCUGGGCUCAACCUGGGAAUGGCAUUGGAAACUGGGCAGCUAGAGUGCGGUAGAGGGUAGUGGAAUUCCCGGUGUAGCAGUGAAAUGCGUAGAGAUCGGGAGGAACAUCUGUGCCGAAGGCGACUGCCUGGACCAGCACUGACACUGAGGCACGAAAGCGUGGGGAGCAAACA
rnacentral:rRNA from 1 species